CCGGCGACCGGCGGACGGGUGCGUAACGCGUAUGUAACCUACCUUUGACAGGGGGAUAACAUCGAGAAAUUGGGUACUAAUACCCCAUAACAUCACCGGAGGCAUCUUCGGUGGUUGAAAACUCAGGUGGUCAGAGAUGGACAUGCGUUGUAUUAGCUAGUUGGUGAGGUAACGGCUCACCAAGGCGACGAUACAUAGGGGGACUGAGAGGUCAACCCCCCACAUUGGUACUGAGACACGGACCAAACUCCUACGGAAGGCAGCAG
rnacentral:rRNA from 1 species